GUUUGUCACUUUUCUCAACAGAACAUCGAUACUACUGUGCGCUUUUGGUUGUGUUGGUUACCCGUGGCAACUCGACAGUGUGCAGCUGCCCUCCAGCUCCUCUCAUCUCCCUCUCCAUCUCCCUCUACUUCUAUCACAUCUGUCUUUACUGGC